AGCAGCCGCGGUAAUUCCAGCUCCAAUAGCGUAUAUUAAAGUUGUUGCAGUUAAAAAGCUCGUAGUUGAAUUUUGGGUUUGGCCGAUUGGUCCGUUCUUGUAACGAGUACUGGUUGGUUGGGCCUCACCGCCUGGUGAUACGUAAUGUCCUUUAUUGGGUGUUGCGAGUAGCCAGGACCUUUACCUUGAAAAAAUUAGAGUGUUUAAAGCAGGCUUAUGCCGGAAUACAUUAGCAUGGAAUAAUAGAAUAGGACGAUGAUUCUAUUUUGUUGGUUUCUAGGAGCAUCGUAAUGAUUAAUAGGGAUAGUUGGGGGCAUUAGUAUUCAAUUGUCAGAGGUGAAAUUCUUGGAUUUAUUGAAGACUAACUACUGCGAAAGCAUUUGCCAAGGAUGUUUUCAUUAAUCAAGAACGAAAGUUAGGGGAUCGAAGACGAUCAGAUACCGUCGUAGUCUUAACCAUAAACUAUGCCGACUAGGGAUCGGGCGAUGUUGUUUCAAUGACUCGCUCGGCACCUUAUG
rnacentral:rRNA from 1 species